UGGCUCAGUGGGUAAAGAACCUGCCUGCAAUGCAGGAGACAGGAGAUACAGGUUCGAUUCCUGU
rnacentral:tRNA from 1 species